CAAAAUUCUGGGUCAGGAAGUAAAAGCUAGAACUAUUACAGAGAUGAGCUGCUAAUUAUGGAGGAAGCCAUCGAGCAAGCAGCCGUUUCUGUCCAGAUCUCCAUUAGAAUCUCAUUAUCAGAGAUCAGUUGUUGCUAUGUUGCCCAGGCUGGAGUGCAAUGGCAUAAUCAUAGCUCACUGCAACCUCAAACUCCUGGGCUCAAGCCAUCCUCUUACCUCAGCCUCCAGAGUCACUAGAAGUGCAGGUUUUUAAUUGGACCACUCCCUGUGCUUUGGAGUUUGGGCGGCAGAACCGCGUAAGGAGAAGCCGUCUGGGUGUCUCCCCUCCGCCAGGCAAGGCAGACAACCAGAGCCGAGCAGCACAGAGAUCUUUCUGCAGUGGGAGAAACAGAUGAGAAAACUCUACGAACACACAGACACCUCUGGAGGAGGAGGACAAGCAGUAGAAGGUUACACAUCUGGGUUGUGAAGGGAAUUGUGACUAAUCUUGAAAGUUACAAUGUACAGAAAGUUCCAGAAAUGUAGACCUUUUGUUCCUUCACAUUAAAUGUAACUUGGGCCCGGUCACGGUGGCUCAUGCCUAUAAUCCUAGUACUUUGAGAGGCCAAGGCGGGUGGAUCGCUUGAGCUCAGGGGUUCAAGACCAGCCUGGCUGACACAGUGUGAUCUUGUCUCUACGAAAAAUAAAACAAAAUCAGCCAGACAUAAUGACGUACGUCUGUAUUUCCAACUACUUGGGCAGUUGAGGUGAGAGGAUUGCUUAAGCACAGCAGGUCAAGGCUGCAGUGAGCCAUGAUUAUGCUGCUGUACUUCAGCCUGGGCGAUAGAGGUAGAC
rnacentral:lncRNA from 1 species